GGCCACAUCACAGUGAAAUACUGGUUACUGUACAAUCCCCAAAGUUAAGCAACAUUGUGCCUGGUUAGUACCUAGAUGGGUGACCACUUGAGAAUACCAGGUGUUGUAG